rnacentral:rRNA from 1 species
GGUGAAGAACUCUGGAAUGAGUCUUUGCCAAAAAGACGUUUACGUUAUGCUCGUAGACGUCGCCCAAGGAUGAGGCCGCGACCGAUCAGGUUGUUGGUGAGGUAAUGGCUCACCAAGCCUUUUACCGGUGCGGGCCGUGAGAGCGGGAGCCCGGAGAUGGGCACUGAGACAAGGGCCCAGGCCCUACGGGGCGCAGCAGUCGCGAAAACUUUGCAAUACACGAAAGUGUGACAGGGCUAUCCCGAGUGCCAUCCGCUGAGGAAGGCUUUUACCCAGUCUAGAACGCUGGGGGAAUAAGGAGAGGGCAAGUCUGGUGUCAGCCGCCGCGGUAAUACCAGCUCUCCGAGUGGUGUGGAUGUUUAUUGGGCCUAAAGCAUCCGUAGCUGGCUGAGUUAGUCCCUUGUUAAAUCCACCGAAUUAAUCGUUGGAUUGCGGGGGAUACUGCUCGGCUAGGGGACGAGAGAGGCAGACGGUAUUUCCGGGGUAGGGGUGAAAUCCUAUAAUCCCGGGAAGACCACCAGUGGCGAAGGCUGUCUGCUAGAACGCGCCCGACGGUGAGGGAUGAAAGCUGGGGGAGCGAACCGGAUUAGAUACCCGGGUAGUCCCAGCUGUAAACGAUGCAGGCUAGGUGUUUGGACGGCCACGUGCCGUUCUAGUGCCGCAGGGAAGCUGUUAAGCCUGCCGCCUGGGGAGUACGAUCGCAAGAUUGAAACUUAAAGGAAUUGGCGGGGGAGCACCACAAGGG